CUCCCUACGGGAGGCAGCAGUGGGGAAUAUUGCACAAUGGGCGCAAGCCUGAUGCAGCGACGCCGCGUGAGGGAUGACGGCCUUCGGGUUGUAAACCUCUUUCACCAGGGACGAAGCGAAAGUGACGGUACCUGGAGAAGAAGCACCGGCCAACUACGUGCCAGCAGCCGCGGUAAUACGUAGGGUGCGAGCGUUGUCCGGAAUUACUGGGCGUAAAGAGUUCGUAGGCGGUUUGUCGCGUCGUUCGUGAAAACUUGGGGCUUAACUCCAAGCGUGCGGGCGAUACGGGCAGACUUGAGUACUACAGGGGAGACUGGAAUUCCUGGUGUAGCGGUGAAAUGCGCAGAUAUCAGGAGGAACACCGGUGGCGAAGGCGGGUCUCUGGGUAGUAACUGACGCUGAGGAACGAAAGCGUGGGUAGCGAACAGGAUUAGAUACCCUGGUAGUCCACGCUGUAAACGGUGGGUACUAGGUGUGGGUUCCUUUUCACGGGAUCCGUGCCGUAGCUAACGCA
rnacentral:rRNA from 1 species